UGCAAGUCGUACGAGAAAGUCCGCUUCGGUGGAUAAGUAAAGUGGCGCACGGGUGAKUAACGCGUGGAUAAUCUACCCUCUAGUUGGGAAUAACUCAUCGAAAGGUGGGCUAAUACCGAAUGAUACUGCAUAACUACUGUUGUACAGUCAAAGAAGGCCUCUGUUUACAAGCUUUUGCUGAAGGAUGAGUCCGCGUACCAUUAGCUAGUUGGUAGGGUAAUGGCCUACCAAGGCGACGAUGGUUAGCUGGUCUGAGAGGAUGAUCAGCCACACUGGAACUGAGACACGGUCCAGACUCCUACGGGAGGCAGCAGUGAGGAAUAUUGCGCAAUGGGGGCAACCCUGACGCAGCAACGCCSCGUGAGUGAGGAAGGUUUUCGGAUCGUAAAGCUCUGUCGAGCGGGAAGAAAUGUGUGGUGGCUAAUAUCCAUCAUGUUUGACGGUACCGCUAAAGGAAGCACCGGCUAACUCCGUGCCAGCAGCCGCGGUAAUACGGGGGGUGCGAGCGUUGUUCGGAAUUAUUGGGCGUAAAGAGCGUGUAGGCGGCUGGAUAAGUCAGAUGUGAAAGCCCUGGGCUUAACCCAGGAAGUGCAUUUGAAACUGUCCGGCUUGAGUAAGGGAGAGGAAAGUGGAAUUCCUGGUGUAGAGGUGAAAUUCGUAGAUAUCAGGAGGAACACCGGUGGCGAAGGCGACUUUCUGGCCCUAUACUGACGCUGAGACGCGAGAGCGUGGGUAGCAAACAGGAUUAGAUACCCUGGUAGUCCA
rnacentral:rRNA from 1 species